UAUUUGCUUUCUCUGUGUAAAAACUAUCCAUAAAUUUAAAAGGGCGAAGGCAGAUGAACAAGCUGAUGAUUUAUCUGAAUUAGGCAAACUACCUAGCUUAUAUAAUUUGGAUGGUACUCAUAAUAACAUGAUUGAUGAUAUUGUUAUUGUGGACUAUUGGCAUUUGAACUUGCUUGAAAUCAUGAACAAAUCAUCUACUGUUAACUAUGCAGUUAAAAAGUAAAACCAAAUUCAUAUUCUUUAUGAAUUUUGCGGCUUUUAAGUCCCAAUCUUCAGGGUAAAAGCAAACCAGCCGGAAGCCUGUUUUCAAGACCAAAAUUUAAGGUGGACUUAAGGUGGACAGUCAAGUUGAUUUUUUCGGUUAAAUUUUUGGAGAUAUUGUUAUUUUCCUUACAUUUAUCGUGAUCUUUGAAAUGAUUAAUUUGAUUAGAAGAUCUUAAAGAAGAGGCCAAAAUAAUAAAAGAUUCCAACACAAUUCAUGUUUUCUCAUUCGGGGAUUGGUCAUUUUAAACUCAAAGAAGGACAAAAAAUCAUUCAUUGGAUGGUCCAAGUACUUGUAUUUUUGGUGAUAUUGAAGCUGCAAUUGAUCUUGAAAUGUUGAACACCGGAGAUGAAAUGAAAUUUUAAGCUCAACACGGAUCGACUUUUCCAAAAGGAAACCAAGUUCAAAUCAACUGUUCUUGAUUGUUGUCCUACAAUCGGUGUUUUCAUUGAUGAAUCAUGUUGGCAGAACCAAUGGCCCUCCAAGUCACCUCACAAGAUUUAUACCUUAAAGACAAUUGCGAUCGGUGCAAGCAAAUUAGCUAAUUUGAUGGGCUAAACGGUUAAGAGGCUAACUAAACUGAAAAUUAUUCAAACGUAUAAAUAGCUUUAAGGGUGAAAUUUACUUUCGCAUUCAUAAUCUAUAUUAAUACAAUUCACUUAUCCCAGGUCAUUUAACUAUUAUUAUCAAUUAACUCAUCUCUUUAAUAAGCGUUACUGUUGUUAUUAAGAAUGAGAAACAGUAACCGAGCAAAUUAAAAUCAAACAAUUAAUUGAUUAUCACCCUUCUGUUUUAUCUUUCAUCUUGUUAUGAUUUGCUCUUGAUCAAGAAUUGAGGCAAGAAAAUGGUUAAAGUUAAUUAAAUGAUGAUAUCUUUCAAUCAACUGUCCUGAAACAAUUGACACUGAGCAAAGUUGGCAAAGGUUUCUAGUUGACUUGAAGAGACAAUAAUUUACUGAUUGGUCUUCCAGGUUGCCUUUAGCGUUGAUUGUUAGCCCUUUACUUGUACAGUUUACAUUUAUAAUCAUACUUUAAUCGUGUCCAAUUAAGUGUUCAAAUGUUAUUUUAACGUGAAAAGGUUGAUUAUUUUGUUAGUCAAUUUUAUCAUAUGUGAUCAGUGUAAGUACAUUGUAUACAAGUGAUUAACAUUUCAAUCAAAAAGUUAAAUCUUUCAACCUGAAGCAAGUCAUUAGUUAAUCAUUCAAGGUUAAUUGAGGGCGACCUUUAAUCAACUUUACUAAUUGUAAAAAAGAUGAACGGGAAAAGGGUUAAUCGAGGUAUCGAAUUGUUGCAGACUAUUUAUAGUUGUAGGAACUAGUGAUGGGCGAUGUUGUAAAAUUUUGUAAUCGAUAUUUAAUCGAAAUUUUUCAAUCAAAUCGAUAUUAUCGAUUUUAUCGAUUUUAUCGAUAUAUCAAUUUAUCAAUGUUUGAUAAUAAAAAUUCAGCUCAAAGUUAUAAAAUAAGCAAACAUAAACGAGCCACAACAUUAAACUAAAUGAAUUAUGAAGGUAGCGAAUGUAAAAAACAAAUUGAAUUAACAUUUUUUGAUCUAAAGCGAAUUUUUUUCUGAUUUUAUGUCUUCAAUUUUUGUAAAAAGACACUCGCAGGUGACUCAAGUUGGUGGAGUUGUUAGAUACUUGUUCGCAAUAUUGUGUAAUUUCAUGCCGGUUUAGAAUAUCGAUAUUCGAAAUUAUGUAUCGAUUUAGAGUUUCGUCACAAAAAUCGAUUCAAUAUCGAUUUCGAUGUUAAUAUCGCCCAUCACUAGUAGGAACCAAAACAUGAUUUCCAAUCAGCUUUAAACAAAUAAAGCUCUGAUCAUCGCCAGUUUUUUUUCCUUCGCUAUACAAAUCUUACUAAUAACA